UCCAUUUUCAGAAAAAGCGUGACGUGUCUAAGGAUUUAAGGAUCUUUUACAACCCCAUGCUCGGCUCCUCCCACACUGGGCCCUCAGCCUUCAGGAUGGGAAACAGUUUAGGACUGUAAGCUGCAAGUACACCCUUCGUGAAUAUUAUACACAUGGGGUCUCCUCUCUUUUUAUUUUUCAUUUAAAUAUGUUCUGGUGAACAAGCUGGGAUACAAGCCCUUUCAUCAGAAGUUGCUGCUGUUCAGCCAUAUGAAGAUCAGUACUCUCAGCCCAUCUAUUUUGAAGCAGAGAACUUGGAAGAAGUCAAGGCUGAGCCUUAUUUACAGAUAAGGAAAUGAAAACUCAGAGAUGCUAAGUGGAGGGACGUUGCGGUGUGCCACCUCCGUUCACCCAGCACCCUGGGUCCCCUUCCUCCAGCCAGCACCGUAGGCUGCCGCUGGGUCACAUGGAGUCCCUGCCAGGAGAAGAAGCUGCUUCCUGGAUAGCCACAUACACUCCUCAAGUCAGCUCUCCUUCCCGGAUAGCCUCACACACUCCUCCAGGGCUCAGCUCCAGGGUCAUCACCACAAAGACGCCUUCCAUGACCAUCCGAUAUAAGAAAAGAAAGCAGAAUUCCAGCUGGAACUGAGAUCAUCCAUUCACUGACCUGGGACUUCUCGGACAGCUUGGAGAAAGAGAUGGGACCUCCACAUCAAGACCCUUAACCAAUUAAGUAUCUGUAACCAGGAUGAGAGAGAAACCUCUGGGUGUAAAUGGACCAAAGUAGAUAAAGAAUGCCGAGAUCUGGAUCAACACAGUCACCUAAAUAACCCUAUUCUUAAGACACAACUUCAGUUAUGAAUCAUCUGUAUACAUCAUGCCUUAUGCUGACCCUACCCAAAAGGUCCUAUAAAACCCCAAACCCUAAACCCUUAGGUGCACCUGCUCUCUGAGGUCGUCCACGCACCCAUCUGAGUGUUUAUUGUCUGAUAUCAAAUAAACUUUCCAGUUGCAUAAGCUGACUGCACUUUUCUCUGAACUCUUUUCCAUGAUAAUCACAAGAACUCUCCAACCUCCACCUCUCAUGGUAAAUGUCUGUCACUUUGCUAUUUCAUUCAGUUUUCUUGUCUUAACACAAUCUUUUCUCUCUCCCUGUUUUAUUUUAGGCCAGUAGGGAAGAGGAAGUUCUCAGAACAUAAACUCACCCCAUCCAGUGCUCUGCAGCACCCCCAAAUCCUGGGGGUGAAGAGCUAUAAUUCCCAGGCUGUGAAAAUUCAGGCAGACACUGGACACCACAGGACCCUGGCUUUAUGAGCUGGCAAGUGAUCUGCCCUACAGUGAGCAGGAGUUCAAUGAACUUUCCUUUCCUUGCUCUGCUAUUCCUUGCACUCUGCUGCCUGCACAGCUGCUGACAUUUGCUUCUACUCUUGCUUUAACGAAUUCCUUUCUUGCUGGAACUUGUUUGACCUGAUGGAGAAUUCUUUCCCAGUCAGAGUCAAGAACCCCCCAUCAUCCAGGCUGAGGUUUCACCUAGGGCUCAGGGAGAGACCUCCCCAGAUGCAGCUGCCCGGCAACGCAGUCGCAUAGUUCUAAGGACCCUUCAGUUCCUAGAUUUGUUAUGCUGUGAUUUAAAAAAUUAUCUUAGAAACAAUGGCUGAUGGAGUUAUUUUUGCCUUUUCAGGGGAAAUAAGAGGGAGAACGCAGCUAUGUCUUGACCAUCUGUCUUGUGUCCCAGCCUCAGGAACACUUGGCUGGCUUCUUUGGUGAACAGAUCAGUUCCAGCCGAGGGUCCAAGAAGGAACCCAUGGCAGCGAAUCAGCCUUGGGCUUUUCCAGAUGGAUGAUCACAGGAUGGCCAUACUGGAUGUGGGAAUGACUGCGACAGCCAGGGCCAGCCCGGCGUAUUAGAAGUGGCCUCAGACAACAUCAGAGGGGAAUUAGAGGAGUAGUUCAAGCUCACCUGCCCUUUUAGCCUUUGUUACUAUUACAUAUGACAGGAAUCCCCACUUGGCCUGGAAUUCUUCCCUUUGGUGUACGUAUCCCUUUCACAUUUUCAUUCAUGCAAUUAAAACUCUUGAGUACCUAAAAUAUGUUUUUUAGAAAUAAGGAUAGGUACUGGGGAUUUGACAGUGAACCUGACAUGGCUCUCUGCUUGGGUCUUGUUGGGAAGACAGGCAGACAAGUAAACAACCACAAAAUAAUAUAAUAAGUACUCUGAGAGGCAAUCUGGGAAUGCCAGAACAUAGGAGGGACACCCAAACUAUCCUCCUACAAGAAAUACCUAUGAAAGACUUAAAAGAUAAACUGGAGCUGUGGAACCUCUAAAUGGGGAGAGGAAUGAGAGUGUUUUAGGCAAAAGAACUGCUUGGGCAGAGGUCAGGAGCCAGGAGAGAGAAGGGAGUCAGCAGACUGUCAGUGCUGCUAGAGGGGAGUUUGAAGCACUGGAGAGAGAAUCCACGAUGAUAGCAUAACACCGCGAUUGGUUAGGAGCAACUGCUAUGAUAUCCUCAUUGUCCAGAAGAGUAGAAGGUCAACAGAUGAGCUAUGGGAUGCCUGAGAAAGAAUUUGUUUCUUAGGGGCUGAGGGUCCAGGCAGAGCAAUAUCCACAGGGCACUUAGAGGAACAGGGUGGAGAGGCACAGGACAGAGGAACACGGCAGUGAGAAGCCAGGCUGGAGAGGUGGUAUGGUGGUAGGAGGUGGGGUGGAUUCCAGAAUGUUGAAGAAGAAAGGAUGCUCAAGGCAAUUCUGGCCUUUCUGCCAAGUUUUUCUCUCUCAAUAAACAAAUGGCUUACCUAGA